AAUGACUUCUGGAUGGGAGCCGAAACGUCUUGAUUCUGAAAACAGUGUCCAGAUGACUGAAACCUUUUCUACGAUAGAACACUCCUGGACGAAUGAGGGACUACACCGUCUCACCCUGAGAAGAAGUUACCAAAAAAGUUAGAGGACGUUACUGAUGUACAAGCAGCUGAAACUGCUCUGACGAUAAAAAUAACUUCAGUUAUUGAGAACACCCUGGAAGAACCCCUGCUGCACUAAUACAGCGGUCUCAUUGAAAUGAACGAGGAGCCUGGGGGUUUGUGCUGCAGAGCUAUGUUAAGGGGCCAUUAGCUAGUGUGCUAAUCAGAUGGGCUGAAGACCUCCAACUAGCUGCCAGUGGAGCGUUUUCUGCUGUGAUACCCGGAUGAACAUCAGGGGAACUACACUAGCAGACUUAUUUCACUGCUCAUGCAGUGAAACGCCAGAGGAGAGGGAACUUGUGCUCUCUGUCUGUGCAGACUUCGCACACCGCUACCAGGAAUAUUUCUCUCCAACGUGCGCUCACUGUGCAAUAAACUGGAUGAACUUCAGCUACUGGUGAGGAAAAACAGAGACUUUUAUUCACCUUCCGUUUACUGCUUCACAGAGACGUGGCCGUGUGGAUCGAUACCGGACUCUGUGCUGCAGCUGGCAGGCUUCCAACUCAACAAAUAGAGACAGUUUAUUCAAUGUCCGACCAGAACGGAAAAUAUUCUGGAUCACUGUUACACUGCAGUAAGCAGUGCCUAUCACGCUGUGCCCCGUGCUGCACUGGUUCACCUGAUUCCUGCAUACAGGCAGAAAUUAAAGCUCUGUAAACCUGUUGUGAGGACAUCAAAGCAGUGGACCAGUGAAGCUAUGCAGGUCCUUCAGACAUGCUUGGACUGUACUGGCUGGGGGGUUUUCAGGACUUUCUACCAACCGUCUGGAUGAGUUCACAGAGGCUGUGAUGUUCUACAUCAGCUUCUGUGAGGACUGCUGUGUACCAUCAUGCACCAGGGUGAGUUAUAACAAUGACAAACCGUGGUUCACAGCUAAACUCAGACAGCUAUGGUUGGAAAAGGAAGAGGCGUUCAGGAGUAGAGACAGGGAUAGGUUUAGGGAGUCAAAGUACAGGUUUAGCAAGGCAGUGAGAGAAGCUAAACGACUGUACUCUGAGAAACUCCAGCACCACUUCUCAGCCAUUGACUUUGCUUCUGUCUGGAAGGGGUCAGACAGAUCACCACUGUCGCUUUGAAAGACAAUGGGACCGUUCUGACACCAUCCCACCAUCUCCACCUCCCCCACCUAAGCAGGGGCCUGGGCCUCUCCACAACUGCCCACCCCAGAGGCUCCCCCUCCCCUACAGCAACCACGACUCUCAACAGACAGUUCAGGAGACAGAACCUCCGCAAAGCAGCCGGGCCAGACUCUGUCGCUCCAUCCUCCCUGAAGCACUGUGCCGAUCAGCUGUCUCCAGUGUUCACGGACAUCUUUAACACCUCACUUGAGACAUGCCAUGUGCCAGCCUGCUUCAAAUCCUCCACCAUCAUCCCCAUCUCCAAAAAACCAAGGACCACAGGACUUAAAGACUACAAACCCGUCGCCCUGACCUCUGUGGUAAUGAAGUCUUUUGAGCGCCUUGUGUUGUCCCAUCUCAAAUCCAUCGCAGACCCACUCCUGGACCCCAUGCAGUUCGCCUACAGAGCAGGGUAGACUGCAGCAUAUUAUUUGCUCCGCAGAGAAGGUGAUUGGCUGUAGUCUAGCUUUCCUCCAGGACCUGCACGCUUCCAGGACUCUGAGGCGCACAGGAAAGAUUGUGGUUGACCCCUCCCACCCUGGACGCAAACUGUUUCAGACACAAUUUUACAUUAUAUUAUUAUAUUUAUGAUUCUUGACCUGCAGUACUUGCUUUAUCUUUCUUUCAAUUUCUAC